rnacentral:rRNA from 1 species
GAUGAACGCUGGCGGCGUGCCUAAUACAUGCAAGUCGAGCGAACAGACGAGGAGCUUGCUUCUCUGACGUUAGCGGCGGACGGGUGAGUAACACGUGGAUAACCUACCUAUAAGACUGGGAUAACUUCGGGAAACCGGAGCUAAUACCGGAUAAUAUAUUGAACCGCAUGGUUCAAUAGUGAAAGACGGUUUUGCUGUCACUUAUAGAUGGAUCCGCGCCGCAUUAGCUAGUUGGUAAGGUAACGGCUUACCAAGGCAACGAUGCGUAGCCGACCUGAGGGGGUGAUCGGCCACACUGGAACUGAGACACGGUCCAGACUCCUACGGGAGGCAGCAGUAGGGAAUCUUCCGCAAUGGGCGAAAGCCUGACGGAGCAACGCCGCGUGAGUGAUGAAGGUCUUCGGAUCGUAAAACUCUGUUAUUAGGGAAGAACAAAUGUGUAAGUAACUAUGCACGUCUUGACGGUACCUAAUCAGAAAGCCACGGCUAACUACGUG